rnacentral:rRNA from 1 species
AGUUACCAUCAUUAAGUUGGGGACUCUAGCGAGACUGCCAGUGAUAAACUGGAGGAAGGUGGGGGAUGACGUCAAAUCAUCAUGCCCCUUAUGACCUGGGCUACAAACGUGAUACAAUGGCUGGAACAAAGGGAUGCGAAGCAGUGAUGUGGAGCGAAACCCAUAAAAACAGUCUCAGUUCGGAUUGAAGUCUGCAACUCGACUUCAUGAAGUCGGAAUCGCUAGUAAUCGCGGAUCAGAACGCCGCGGUGAAUACGUUCUCGGGGUUU